GACGAACGCUGGCGGCGUGCCUAAUACAUGCAAGUAGAACGCUGAAGGAGGAGCUUGCUUCUCUGGAUGAGUUGCGAACGGGUGAGUAACGCGUAGGUAACCUGCCUGGUAGCGGGGGAUAACUAUUGGAAACGAUAGCUAAUACCGCAUGAUAUUGAUUAUUGCAUGAUAGUCAAUUAAAAGGUGCAAUUGCAUCACUACCAGAUGGACCUGCGUUGUAUUAGCUAGUUGGUGAGGUAACGGCUCACCAAGGCAACGAUACAUAGCCGACCUGAGAGGGUGAUCGGCCACACUGGGACUGAGACACGGCCCAGACUCCUACGGGAGGCAGCAGUAGGGAAUCUUCGGCAAUGGACGGAAGUCUGACCGAGCAACGCCGCGUGAGUGAAGAAGGUUUUCGGAUCGUAAAGCUCUGUUGUAAGAGAAGAACGAGUGUGAGAGUGGAAAGUUCACACUGUGACGGUAUCUUACCAGAAAGGGACGGCUAACUACGUGCCAGCAGCCGCGGUAAUACGUAGGUCCCGAGCGUUGUCCGGAUUUAUUGGGCGUAAAGCGAGCGCAGGCGGUUAGAUAAGUCUGAAGUUAAAGGCUGUGGCUUAACCAUAGUACGCUUUGGAAACUGUUUAACUUGAGUGCAAGAGGGGAGAGUGGAAUUCCAUGUGUAGCGGUGAAAUGCGUAGAUAUAUGGAGGAACACCGGUGGCGAAGCGGCUCUCUGGCUUGUAACUGACGCUGAGGUUCGAAAGGUGGGAGCAAACAGGAUUAUAUACCCUUGUAGUCCAAGGGGGAGUUCCUCGCGGGAGAUUAAGCUUGUCGAUGCCGUCGACCCCGCGGGGGGGGGGUGUGUUUUUAUAUAUUUUUUCCUUUCUGAAGGGGAAUUUAAAA
rnacentral:rRNA from 1 species